CAAGUAAUUACAAAAAAAAAAAAAAAAAAAAAAAAAAAGAAAGUAAUCGCAAGUAAUCUUCAAUCAUCAUCGUCACAAGUGAAUGCAGAUUGCAGGCUCCUCGAGCAGGCCACAAAGAAUAAGGCUGAAUCCUCCACAUGUCCGACAUCGUCAUAAGACAUCACCGCAAGACAUCGCCAUCACCGCAAGACAUCGCCAUCACCUCAAGACAUCGCCAUCACCUCAAGACAUCGCCAUCACCUCAAGACAU